rnacentral:rRNA from 1 species
GAUGAACGCUGGCGGCGUGCCUAAUACAUGCCAGUCGAGCGAACAGACGAGGAGCUUGCUCCUCUGACGUUAGCGGCGGACGGGUGAGUAACACGUGGAUAACCUACCUAUAAGACUGGGAUAACUUCGGGAAACCGGAGCUAAUACCGGAUAAUAUAUUGAACCGCAUGGUUCAAUAGUGAAAGACGGUUUUGCUGUCACUUAUAGAUGGAUCCGCGCCGCAUUAGCUAGUUGGUAAGGUAACGGCUUACCAAGGCAACGAUGCGUAGCCGACCUGAGAGGGUGAUCGGCCACACUGGAACUGAGACACGGUCAAGACUCCUACGGGAGGCAGCAGUAGGGAAUCUUCCGCAAUGGGCGAAAGCCUGACGGAGCAAAGCCGCGUGAGUGAUGAAGGUCUUCGGAUCGUAAAACUCUGUUAUUAGGGAAGAACAAAUGUGUAAGUAACUAUGCACGUCUUGACGGUACCUAAUCAGAAAGCCACGGCUAACUACGUG